GAAAGUGGUGAAGGUGCUGUAAUUCGCCACUACGUGACAGUUAAUUCACAUCUUUGAAAAAAUAAAAAAAAUGGAGAUUGGCAAGAAGUAUACUAAUGAAAUCACAGCAUGGUCUCCUUAGAUGGGAAAGGAUAUAAGGAUUGGAAUGAAAGUAAAUCUAAUCUAAAUGAUUAUUAUGGAAAAAUGAUAGCAGUUUCAAUAUUUACCUCAAAAGUUUUCAGUUACAUCAUUAUCAAACUGCCGGCACCCAAGAACCUGAAGGAGCUCCAGUCCUCUUUGGGUCUGAAGAGGAGUUGGAGCAAAUGACCAGAGCACUAAAGGAGGCUGCCAGCAAAUUUGGGCUAAACAUAAACGAAGCCAAGACAGAGUACUUCGUUGUGACGCAUGGUCAAAGUGAGACUGUAGAACCCUCAUUAACAACUGAUGACACCUGCAAGAGACUCCUGAACUGUGAAGAUACUGCUGCGCCCCUUGGACCAACUCUAUUCUGUUCAAAAAGCAGAUUCCAUGCCCACACACAUUCAGCUAUGCUCCUCAGUCCACCUGAAAAACUGAGUCAGCAUCCCUCCAUGAUGAAUGAGAUGUUGAACUCAGGAGAAGACAUUAGAAUCAUGUAUUUUACACUUUGGCACACAAUUUCCUUGUAAAAGCAAUAAACCAUGAUUACAUAUUGAAAUGUAACAGUUUGUUUUAUUUAUACCGUUUCAUUACUACCCACUACUCUGCAUAUUCUAA